CCUACAUGUGCGACUUGGUCCAUCGUCGGUCGUAGUUGCCUCGUCGUUGAUUUUGUUCCUUGUUCCUUCAGUUUGCAUGAGGGGUUACACCAUUGAUUUGGAAGUGAGUUACUAGUUCGUGAUAUAUGCGUUUGAGGUUGGUAAAGGUACUUGGCUACGAGUGAAGAGACGCUUAGAAUAACCACCUAGUUAAGAGACAAUUUCUAUUUCGGUUUAAGUUAGAUUUUGUUAUUUACUUUAUGGGGAUUAAUUGGUUGUAAUAUUUUAUUGGCCACCUUUAGACCACUUAGUUAAUUUUGAA